rnacentral:rRNA from 1 species
CGGCGUAAAGAGUGGUUAGGGACUACAACAAACUAAAGCUGAAGGCUCUCGCAACUGUUAUACGUAUUCGAGAGUCCGAAACCCAACUACGAAAGUGGCUUUACAAAACCUGAUCCCACGAAAGCUAAGAAA